rnacentral:tRNA from 1 species
UCCGUUGUAGUCCAGCGGUUAGGAUAUCUCGCUUUCACCGAGAAGACCGGGGUUCGAUUCCCCGCAUCGGAG